GAAAGGUUUUGUUGGAGAAGGAACAGCCUAAGGGUCCUACAGAUUCUGUUUCCUAGACCAAUGGAUUGGUACACAAACCCCAGGAGGACUUUUUGCCUAAUCACCCACCACUGAAUUCUAUUUUGAUCU
rnacentral:lncRNA from 1 species